AUUGAACGCUGGCGGCAGGCCUAACACAUGCAAGUCGAGCGAGCGGCGGACGGGUGAGUAAUGUAUGGGGACUGCCCGAUAGAGGGGGAUAACUACUGGAAACGGUGGCUAAUACCGCAUACUAUCGGAUAACCCAUAUGGGAUUAGCUAGUAGGUGGGGUAAAGGCUAACCUAGGCGACGAUCACUAGCUGGUCUGAGAGGAUGAUCAGCAACACUGGGACUGUGACACGGCCCAGACUCCUACGGAGGCAGCAGUGGGGAAGAUUGCACAAUGGGCGCAAGACGGAUGCAGCCAUGCGGCGUGUAUGAAGAAGGCCUUAGGGUGGUAAAGGACUUUCAGCAGGGAGGCGUUACCCGCAGAAGAAGCACAGGCUAACUCCGUGCCAGCAGGCGCGGUAAUAC
rnacentral:rRNA from 1 species